UUGGGGCAGUGAGGGUCUGUGU
rnacentral:miRNA from 1 species